AGGGUGCGCGUUGAGCUGGAUAUUUUGGGUAUUCUGCGUUAUCAGAAGCGCGAGCUGAGUCGGAUAUGCAGUCACGCUAGGGGCCUUUCCUACCUCCUCCUUCGCUCUCUCUCUCUCUCUCUCUCUCUCUGCUGUUUGACGAACGAAGGAUCCUGCUUCAAUGAGAGAAGGAAGAGUGCAAUGGCGACAAAUCCCCUCACUUCGACCGUUGGGAUAUCGUAAUUCGGAAAGUUCAAAUGGCCAGCCCUUCUGCCUCUCCUUGUCAUCUUCUUCCCCUGAGUACGCCGAGGUUGGGGGCAAGGACGGCGCAGCUGGGUGCUUCGCAUCGCUUCUCCUCGACAAGGAGGGGAUGAAGAAGAAGCAGGAAGGUCAUGUGGUGGAUACUGGUUCCAAGGAUCUCCUGAGCGUGGAGCAGUUCCUGAAGCACCCGUUGGCAUUACUAUCUUUCGUACCCAAAGACGUCGCCCUGUUCUCGGCCGGGGCCUUCGCCGGUGCCGCUGCCAAGACUGUUACUGCCCCUCUUGAUAGAAUCAAGCUUCUCAUGCAGACUCAUGGUUUGCGGGUUGUAGAAGGAAGUACGAAGAAGGGCAUCGGGUUCCUUGAGGCAUUAAUGAUGAUAGGAAAAGAGGAUGGUGUUAAAGGUUAUUGGAAAGGGAAUCUCCCUCAGGUCAUGCGGAUCAUUCCAUAUAGUGCCGUGCAGCUGUUCUCAUAUGAAGCAUACAAGAAACUUAUUAAAGGUCAAGACAAGGAACUCUCUAUUGCUGGCAGAUUGGUUUCUGGAGCAUGUGCUGGCAUGACAGCAACUCUUAUAACAUAUCCUUUAGAUGUUCUAAGGUUAAGGUUGGCAGUUGAACCAGGCUGUAAGACAAUGACUCAGGUUGCUCUAGCCAUGUUACGAGAUGAAGGAUGGGCUUCCUUUUAUAGUGGUCUUGGACCUUCUCUUCUGAGCAUAGCUCCAUAUAUUGCUGUUAACUUUUGUAUUUAUGAUGUUGUUAAGAAAUCUCUUCCUGAGAGAUACCAAAGCCGACCAGAAUCAUCACUUGCAACUGCACUGGUGUCUGCAAGCCUGGCUACUCUCAUGUGUUACCCUUUAGAUACUGUGAGAAGGCAAAUGCAAAUGAAAGGCUCGCCCUACAAAAAUGUAAUUGAUGCCUUUUCAGGUAUUCUUGCACGUGAUGGAGUCGCUGGGUUAUAUAGGGGCUUUGUGCCUAAUGCUUUGAAAAAUCUACCGAACAGCAGCAUUCGCCUGACAAUGUUUGACACCGUGAAAUGUCUCAUCGAAUCAAGUCAAAAGGAGUUUCAGGGAUUGAUGGAAGAAAGAAACAAAAACUAACUGGAAUCAACCCUUGCUGACUUCCUGAUUUUGCUUCAUAGUGCGGCAUUUUCAUUUUUUAUUGGCGAGGAAUCUAGCGUAUGGGAAUGUACAAGUAUGCCCGUUUGGCCCUCAUGCUGUGUCUGUCUGCGAGUCUGUGACUUCAUUCAUCAAGGGAAUAUGUGGUAGGAGACAAAUACCUUCCUGCAUUCCUCUAGUUUCACAGCCUUGGUUAUUGCGGUAAACUUUCCUUAAUAGGUUUGGGUGAAAAAAAACGAGACUCUGGUUGCUGCUUAAGGAGUCUGCAUUUUGUCUCUUAACAACUGUGAUUUUUCCAGUUGAAUGCUGAGAAAACUUGGAACUGGGGCAUGGCGUCGCAGUAGUACU